rnacentral:misc_RNA from 1 species
GCCUCAGUGUCUUCCUUCUUGGUAACCAAACGCCAGAAAAAUGACUUCCUCGGACAAAAAUUGUCUAGAAAUGAUUCUAAUUACCAGAUCUCUUCUUUAACUUACAGGGAAUGCUAGUUUUGACAUUAACAGCAGCAGUCACAAAGCUUCAUCCACCUGAAUGUGGAAAUCAAGAACCUGCACCAAUAUGUGUUGGUCCAACACCAGGACAAAUGAUAUUUUUACUAGUAGGCUUUUGUUUGCUAGUAAUUGGUGCUUCUGGCAUAAGGCCAUGUAACUUAGCAUUUGGAGCUGAUCAAUUUGAUCCCAAAACAGUUAAGU